rnacentral:rRNA from 1 species
UUAAGCGACUAAGCGUACACGGUGGAUGCCCUGGCAGUCAGAGGCGAUGAAGGACGUGCUAAUCUGCGAUAAGCGUCGGUAAGGUGAUAUGAACCGUUAUAACCGGCGAUUUCCGAAUGGGGAAACCCAGUGUGUUUCGACACACUAUCAUUAACUGAAUCCAUAGGUUAAUGAGGCGAACCGGGGGAACUGAAACAUCUAAGUACCCCGAGGAAAAGAAAUCAACCGAGAUUCCCCCAGUAGCGGCGAGCGAACGGGGAGCAGCCCAGAGCCUGAAUCAGUGUGUGUGUUAGUGGAAGCGUCUGGAAAGGCGCGCGAUACAGGGUGACAGCCCCGUACACAAAAAUGCACAUACUGUGAGCUCGAUGAGUAGGGCGGGACACGUGGUAUCCUGUCUGAAUAUGGGGGGACCAUCCUCCAAGGCUAAAUACUCCUGACUGACCGAUAGUGAACCAGUACCGUGAGGGAAAGGCGAAAAGAACCCCGGCGAGGGGAGUGAAAAAGAACCUGAAACCGUGUACGUACAAGCAGUGGGAGCNNNNNNNNNNNNGUGACUGCGUACCUUUUGUAUAAUGGGUCAGCGACUUAUAUUCUGUAGCAAGGUUAACCGAAUAGGGGAGCCGAAGGGAAACCGAGUCUUAACUGGGCGUUAAGUUGCAGGGUAUAGACCCGAAACCCGGUGAUCUAGCCAUGGGCAGGUUGAAGGUUGGGUAACACUAACUGGAGGACCGAACCGACUAAUGUUGAAAAAUUAGCGGAUGACUUGUGGCUGGGGGUGAAAGGCCAAUCAAACCGGGAGAUAGCUGGUUCUCCCCGAAAGCUAUUUAGGUAGCGCCUCGUGAAUUCAUCUCCGGGGGUAGAGCACUGUUUCGGCAAGGGGGUCAUCCCGACUUACCAACCCGAUGCAAACUGCGAAUACCGGAGAAUGUUAUCACGGGAGACACACGGCGGGUGCUAACGUCCGUCGUGAAGAGGGAAACAACCCAGACCGCCAGCUAAGGUCCCAAAGUCAUGGUUAAGUGGGAAACGAUGUGGGAAGGCCCAGACAGCCAGGAUGUUGGCUUAGAAGCAGCCAUCAUUUAAAGAAAGCGUAAUAGCUCACUGGUCGAGUCGGCCUGCGCGGAAGAUGUAACGGGGCUAAACCAUGCACCGAAGCUGCGGCAGCGACACUAUGUGUUGUUGGGUAGGGGAGCGUUCUGUAAGCCUGUGAAGGUGUGCUGUGAGGCAUGCUGGAGGUAUCAGAAGUGCGAAUGCUGACAUAAGUAACGAUAAAGCGGGUGAAAAGCCCGCUCGCCGGAAGACCAAGGGUUCCUGUCCAACGUUAAUCGGGGCAGGGUGAGUCGACCCCUAAGGCGAGGCCGAAAGGCGUAGUCGAUGGGAAACAGGUUAAUAUUCCUGUACUUGGUGUUACUGCGAAGGGGGGACGGAGAAGGCUAUGUUGGCCGGGCGACGGUUGUCCCGGUUUAAGCGUGUAGGCUGGUUUUCCAGGCAAAUCCGGAAAAUCAAGGCUGAGGCGUGAUGACGAGGCACUACGGUGCUGAAGCAACAAAUGCCCUGCUUCCAGGAAAAGCCUCUAAGCAUCAGGUAACAUCAAAUCGUACCCCAAACCGACACAGGUGGUCAGGUAGAGAAUACCAAGGCGCUUGAGAGAACUCGGGUGAAGGAACUAGGCAAAAUGGUGCCGUAACUUCGGGAGAAGGCACGCUGAUAUGUAGGUGAAGCGACUUGCUCGUGGAGCUGAAAUCAGUCGAAGAUACCAGCUGGCUGCAACUGUUUAUUAAAAACACAGCACUGUGCAAACACGAAAGUGGACGUAUACGGUGUGACGCCUGCCCGGUGCCGGAAGGUUAAUUGAUGGGGUNNNNNNNNNNGCGAAGCUCUUGAUCGAAGCCCCGGUAAACGGCGGCCGUAACUAUAACGGUCCUAAGGUAGCGAAAUUCCUUGUCGGGUAAGUUCCGACCUGCACGAAUGGCGUAAUGAUGGCCAGGCUGUCUCCACCCGAGACUCAGUGAAAUUGAACUCGCUGUGAAGAUGCAGUGUACCCGCGGCAAGACGGAAAGACCCCGUGAACCUUUACUAUAGCUUGACACUGAACAUUGAGCCUUGAUGUGUAGGAUAGGUGGGAGGCUUAGAAGUGUGGACGCCAGUCUGCAUGGAGCCGACCUUGAAAUACCACCCUUUAAUGUUUGAUGUUCUAACGUUGACCCGUGAUCCGGGUUGCGGACAGUGUCUGGUGGGUAGUUUGACUGGGGCGGUCUCCUCCUAAAGAGUAACGGAGGAGCACGAAGGUUGGCUAAUCCUGGUCGGACAUCAGGAGGUUAGUGCAAUGGCAUAAGCCAGCUUGACUGCGAGCGUGACGGCGCGAGCAGGUGCGAAAGCAGGUCAUAGUGAUCCGGUGGUUCUGAAUGGAAGGGCCAUCGCUCAACGGAUAAAAGGUACUCCGGGGAUAACAGGCUGAUACCGCCCAAGAGUUCAUAUCGACGGCGGUGUUUGGCACCUCGAUGUCGGCUCAUCACAUCCUGGGGCUGAAGUAGGUCCCAAGGGUAUGGCUGUUCGCCAUUUAAAGUGGUACGCGAGCUGGGUUUAGAACGUCGUGAGACAGUUCGGUCCCUAUCUGCCGUGGGCGCUGGAGAACUGAGGGGGGCUGCUCCUAGUACGAGAGGACCGGAGUGGACGCAUCACUGGUGUUCGGGUUGUCAUGCCAAUGGCACUGCCCGGUAGCUAAAUGCGGAAGAGAUAAGUGCUGAAAGCAUCUAAGCACGAAACUUGCCCCGAGAUGAGUUCUCCCUGACCCUUUAAGGGUCCUGAAGGAACGUUGAAGACGACGACGUUGAUAGGCCGGGUGUGUAAGCGCAGCGAUGCGUUGAGCUAACCGGUACUAAUGAACCGUGAGGCUUAACCUU